CUGAUGUUAACCGGCGUCGUCCCAUUGGCCAGGUAACGCACGGUUUCUGUAAAUCAUAAUACAUAUUCUUACUUUAAGUUUAUCCAAGUUUAUUCUUUUUUACUGUCGAUUAUUCAAAUAGAUGUAUCAGUGCAAAGGUGUUAAAUAUAUAUAUAUAUAUAUAUACAGUGUUGGUGAGUAACGGAAUACAUGCAUCGGCGUUACGUAUUCAAAAUACAAAUUAAAGCUAACUGUAUUCCGUUACAGUUACAAUUUAAAUAGUUGGUAUUUAGAAUACAGUUACAUUGUUGAAAUCAAUGGUUUACAUGACGAUACUUCUAUUUCAGCGGUUUAUUCGUGCUUUCACACCAACAGCAUUUAGUGCGCACUAAACGAGUUUGGUCUCCUUGGUUCGGUACGUUUGCGUUGGUCUGGUCUCGGUUCGCUUCCAAACGAACCCUGGUACGGUUCGCUCGAGUUGUGAAAGCGAAUGCACCUCAGUCCGAUCCAGUUCUACAAAGCAUAUGCCUCUUUGGACGUAACAGGCACCCGCUCAGCCGCGCGCAUUAUGGGAAUUAUUGUUUGAUUAGCGGUAACUCCGAGACUAGCAGCAAAUUGUCGGACCGUCUGGGAAUUUGGACAGACAC